ACAUUCUCUGAGACUCUUCCUGUGUGCCUGUGUGUCUGUCUCUCUGUGCAUCUCUGUCUCUGUCUCUGUCUCUGUCUCUGUCUCUGACUCCCUCUCUCUGUCAGGAAUAUUGCAGCAUGACUGGGAAGCCUGUCCUUCAUUACUUCAAUUGAAGAAGAAGAAUGGAGUCCAUCCGGUGGCUCCUGGCAGCAGCUGGAGUAGAGGUGGAACCCUGAUGUACGAGCAAGUGCCCAUGGUGGAAAUCGAUGGAAUGACUUUGGUGCAGACCAGUGCCAUCUUAAGAUAUGUAGCUGCAAAAUAUGACUUGUAUGGAAGGAACCUGGAGGAACAAGCCUGAAGAGAAGGAGAUGAACCUUGAAUACAUCCUCCACCGAGCUACAACAAGAUUCUUCCCCGUUUAUGAGAAGGCCCUGAGAGACCACGGGCAAGACUUUCUUGUGGGCAAUCGGCUGAGCUUGGCUGAUGUCCAGCUCCUUGAAGUCAUCUUAAUGGCUGAAGAAUGCAAAGCCAGUGUUCUCUCGGGUUUCCCUCUGCUACAGGACUUCAAGGUGAGAACCAGCCAAAUUCCUACAAUUAACAGCUUCCUCCAACCUGGAAGCCAGAGGAAGCCUCCUUUGGAGGAGCGAUCCAUUGGGACUGCAAAGGACAUAUUCAAAUUUGAAUGAGGACUGUUUCUUAAAAACAUGAGCAAUAUAGUAGCUGAGUAUUAACAGCUACAGAGGCUGGAGUUACUCAGUAAGUAUACUGAGUAACUUGACACUGCAUUCAUAAAAAGACACUCACUAAGUAUAUGGCCAGAGAAAUAUCCUGAAGUUAGUAAUAAAUGUUAGGAAUCUUAGUAUGUUAGCAAUGUUAGAAUGUUAGUAAUGGAAAUAUUAAAUGUGUAAGAGAAAAACUACUAGAAGCUUAUCAAUAAACUACAAGAACCAACUCUUGUUUGAAGUAAGACAGGCUACCAAGACAGAAUUCAGAAAAUCCAAGGAGCCCUCGGCCUUCUGUAUGAUCCUAGAAUAAACUUGUAUGUAGCAAGUGAAA
rnacentral:lncRNA from 1 species